rnacentral:rRNA from 1 species
GUAACGCGUGAGCGAACCUGUCCCAGACAGGGGGAUAACACUUGGAAACAGGUAGCUAAUACCGCAUAAGACCACGGGAUCACAUGGUUCUGGGGGUAAAAAGGAGCAAUCCGGUUUGGGGUGGGCUCGCGUCCGAUUAGCCAGUUGGCGGGGUAACGGCCCACCAAAGCGACGAUCGGUAGCCGACCUGAGAGGGUGAACGGCCACAUUGGAACUGAGAGACGGUCCAAACUCCUACGGGAGGCAGCAGUGGGGAAUAUUGGGCAAUGGGCGAAAGCCUGAACCCCCAGCAACGCCGCGUGAGUGAAGAAGGCCUUCGGGUUGUAAAGCUCUGUUAUAGUUGACGAAGGAAGUGACGGUAGGCUAUAAGGAAGCCCCGGCUAACUACGUGCCAGCAGCCGC